UGACUGACUGACUAACUGCAGCAGAUUAACUGGAUAAACUGGAAAUAGUAACCUAACCUAACCUAACCACAUGAGACAAAGAUGGCCGACAGCUCGCUGCUCCUCUCCAUUUCUUCUUUUGUUUUUCCACUGGCUGUCAGCUAGUCCAGACUUUGUCCACCUGUGGACCAUGGAGUUAAUGGAAGGACACUGGUUUCACCAAACACAACUUACUGACUUUUACAAGGAAUCACUGUGAAGUUUCAAGAUCCAUUGAUAAGGCCAUGUACAGUACAUGGGCGUCAGAACCAUUUUAAA